rnacentral:rRNA from 1 species
UUUGAUCCUGGCUCAGAACGAACGCUGGCGGCGUGGAUAAGACAUGCAAGUCGAACGAGAUUUUCCGUUGUAGCAAUACGAUGGAAAGUCUAGUGGCGAACGGGUGCUUAACACGUGGGCAACCUGCCGAGAAGUGGGGGAUAGCUCGCCGAAAGGCGAAUUAAUACCGCAUGUGAUUAGAGUGGACAUCCAUUCGAAAUUAAAGUCGGGGCAACCUGACGCUUCUUGUGGGGCCCGCGGCCUAUCAGCUAGUUGGUGAGGUAACGGCUCACCAAGGCUUUGACGGGUAGCUGGUCUGAGAGGACGACCAGCCACACUGGGACUGAGACACGGCCCAGACACCUACGGGUGGCAGCAGUCGAGAAUUUUUGACAAUGGGGGAAACCCUGAUCGAGCGACGCCGCGUGGAGGAUGAAGGUCUUCGGAUUGUAAACUCCUGUCAUUGGGGAACAAUGCGUGACGCUUAACU